GGCGGCGUGCUUAACACAUGCAAGUCGAACGGAAAGGCCCUGCUUUUGUGGGGUGCUCGAGUGGCGAACGGGUGAGUAACACGUGAGUAACCUGCCCUUGACUUUGGGAUAACUUCAGGAAACUGGGGCUAAUACCGGAUAGGAGCUCCUGCUGCAUGGUGGGGGUUGGAAAGUUUCGGCGGUUGGGGAUGGACUCGCGGCUUAUCAGCUUGUUGGUGGGGUAGUGGCUUACCAAGGCUUUGACGGGUAGCCGGCCUGAGAGGGUGACCGGCCACAUUGGGACUGAGAUACGGCCCAGACUCCUACGGGAGGCAGCAGUGGGGAAUAUUGCACAAUGGGCGGAAGCCUGAUGCAGCAACGCCGCGUGCGGGAUGACGGCCUUCGGGUUGUAAACCGCUUUCGCCUGUGACGAAGCGUGAGUGACGGUAAUGGGUAAAGAAGCACCGGCUAACUACGUGCCAGCAGCCGCGGUGAUACGUAGGGUGCGAGCGUUGUCCGGAUUUAUUGGGCGUAAAGGGCUCGUAGGUGGUUGAUCGCGUCGGAAGUGUAAUCUUGGGGCUUAACCCUGAGCGUGCUUUCGAUACGGGUUGACUUGAGGAAGGUAGGGGAGAAUGGAAUUCCUGGUGGAGCGGUGGAAUGCGCAGAUAUCAGGAGGAACACCAGUGGCGAAGGCGGUUCUCUGGGCCUUUCCUGACGCUGAGGAGCGAAAGCGUGGGGAGCGAACAGGCUUAGAUACCCUGGUAGUCCACGCUGUAAACGGUGGGUACUAGGUGUGGGGUCCAUUCCACGGGUUCCGUGCCGUAGCUAACGCUUUAAGUACCCCGCCUGGGGAGUACGGCCGCAAGGCUAAAACUCAAAGGAAUUGACGGGGCCCCGCACAAGCGGCGGAGCAUGCGGAUUAAUUCGAUGCAACGCGUAGAACCUUACCUGGGUUUGACAUGGAUCGGGAGUGCUCAGAGAUGGGUGUGCCUCUUUUGGGGUCGGUUCACAGGUGGUGCAUGGCUGUCGUCAGCUCGUGUCGUGAGAUGUUGGGUUAAGUCCCGCAACGAGCGCAACCCUUGUUCACUGUUGCCAGCACGUUAUGGUGGGGACUCAGUGGAGACCGCCGGGGUCAACUCGGAGGAAGGUGGGGAUGACGUCAAGUCAUCAUGCCCCUUAUGUCCAGGGCUUCACGCAUGCUACAAUGGCUGGUACAGGGAGUGGCGAGCCUGUGAGGGUGAGCGAAUCUCGGAAAGCCGGUCUCAGUUCGGAUUGGGGUCUGCAACUCGACCUCAUGAAGUCGGAGUCGCUAGUAAUCGCAGAUCAGCAACGCUGCGGUGAAUACGUUCCCGGGGCUUGUACACACCGCCCGUCAAGUCAUGAAAGUUGGUAACACCCGAAGCCGGUGGCCUAACCGUUGUGGGGGAGCCGUCGAAGGUGGGACUGGUGAUUAGGACU
rnacentral:rRNA from 1 species